rnacentral:tRNA from 1 species
GGGCCCGUGGUCUAGCCUGGUAUGACGUCUGCUUGACGUGCAGAAGGUCGCGCAUUCAAAUUGCGCCGGGCCCACCA